rnacentral:rRNA from 2 species
GCGGCGGACGGGUGAGUAACACGUGGGCAACCUGCCUGUAAGACUGGGAUAACUUCGGGAAACCGAAGCUAAUACCGGAUAGGAUCUUCUCCUUCAUGGGAGAUGAUUGAAAGAUGGUUUCGGCUAUCACUUACAGAUGGGCCCGCGGUGCAUUAGCUAGUUGGUGAGGUAACGGCUCACCAAGGCAACGAUGCAUAGCCGACCUGAGAGGGUGAUCGGCCACACUGGGACUGAGACACGGCCCAGACUCCUACGGGAGGCAGCAGUAGGGAAUCUUCCGCAAUGGACGAAAGUCUGACGGAGCAACGCCGCGUGAGUGAUGAAGGCUUUCGGGUCGUAAAACUCUGUUGUUAGGGAAGAACAAGUACRAGAGUAACUGCUYGUACCUUGACGGUACCUAACCAGAAAGCCACGGCUAACUACGUGCCAGCAGCCGCGGUAAUACGUAGUGGCAAGCGUUAUCCGGAAUUAUUGGGCGUAAAGCGCGCGCAGCGGUUUCUUAAGUCUGAUGUGAAGCCCACGGCUCAACCGUGGAGGUCAUUGGAACUGGGGACUUGAUGCAGAGAGAAAGCGGAA